GCUACUUUAUAGAUAGGAAGUACACAGACAAUGUUAGUUUGUUGCAAGUGUAAAAUGAUUAGUAGGACAGGAAUUAUGCAUAAUAGAGAUCAAGCUGUAUCGGUGAAAAAAUCUCCUAAUACUAUCCUUACCUUUUGUGUCACCCCUUUCCCUCUAUAAUGUAAGCUCAUUGAGCAGGGCCCUCAACCCCUCUGUUCCUGUGUGUCCAUUUGUCUGGCUACAACUACAUGUUUGUUUGUCCACCCAUUGUACAACGCUACAGAAUUUGUUGGUGCUAUGUAAAAAAUAACAUAAUAAUAAUAAUAAUCAGAAUAGUGAUUUCCAUUUUUUGAUGGAACUUUAGUCUCAAGUUUUCAUAUAUCGUGAUGUGUGAUUAUCUGUAACGCUAUAAGACCAUGACUAUCCAAUAACUAUAAAAAAAUAUGGUGGGCUGGCAUUUUUUAUGAGAAACGCACAACCAUAAUUUUAUUUUAGUGCUAUAUAAUUCUUUUUUUAAAAUUGUAAUACGUUCAAAAGAUUGUCAAUAAAUAUCAAAAUAAAUAUUGAACACAUGUGUCUAUAAUUAAGGAUUAGCCGUUAAGCAAAGAAGACUGUGAGCAAAUACAGCUUUCGAUUUGUUGCUGAAAUAUGUCAACUUCACCCUUGUCUUUUGUGUCUCUAUGUGUUUGAAUAUUAAAAUGCAGUUCAAAAAUAGCCACCGAAACACUGAAAACUCAUACAUCUUCAAGUGUUAAACUUGUUAUAGCCGUGGUUCAUGCAUAUAACAUGGAUACAUUUGCAGCACUAUUUUAAACUGAUUCAAAGAGAGAACAUUUCAGGUGACAGUGGCUUUUAAGAAAAUAUAUUACUUUUUUGUUUGUAUUACUUGUUUUUUUUUUCCUAGUCCGUAGAGUGAAUAUAUGUGAAUAUAGUUUAUUAUGCUAUAGUCAUUGGACAAAUGUUUCUGUUUCCAAUCAACAAAUAAAAUGCAUGUUACAUUUCUGGCAUGGGAAUAAUUUUAAUUCAACUUCAAAUGAAUUAUUCCAGUGCAUAUUGAAUUGGAUAUAGUCAUGUGAAAAUGCAUGUGCAGUAGAGUCUUUCUUUAUUCCUCUGCAUUUUUUUUUUACU